UACGUAGGGUGCGAGCGUUAAUCGGAAUUACUGGGCGUAAAGCGUGCGCAGGCGGUUUCGUACGACAGAUGUGAAAUCCCCGGGCUUAACCUGGGAACUGCGUUUGUGACUGCGAGACUCGAGUGUGGCAGAGGGGGGUGGAAUUCCACGUGUAGCAGUGAAAUGCGUAGAUAUGUGGAGGAACAUCGAUGGCGAAGGCAGCCCCCUGGGUCAACACUGACGCUCAUGCACGAAAGCGUGGGGAGCAAACAGG
rnacentral:rRNA from 1 species